UCCCUGGUGGCCCAGUGGCUACGACUCUGCACUUUUAGUGCAGGGGGCCUGGGUUCAAUUCCUGGUCAGAGAA
rnacentral:tRNA from 1 species